UCUUGUUGGACACCUAUUGGUGAUGUAA
rnacentral:piRNA from 1 species